CCGGCGUCGGAGAAGCUGGAGUCGAGGGAGUCGCGGUCGCCGUCGGGACCUGCAAAGAAAGUGUAAACCGGAGGUGGGGGUGCUCCGGCAAGACCCUUCGACGCUCAAGUCAAUUCUCUAUCUCAACAAAAAUAGAGUGCUCGAACGAAAAUUCUAACAGAGUUUUUUAGAUAGAGAUUAGAGCUUAGAGAAUAACAUAUCUGA
rnacentral:lncRNA from 1 species